rnacentral:lncRNA from 1 species
GGUGCCGAAGGUCUUUAAGGUCGUCAGCUCACCUACUGCCCAGCCUGUGGUGUCAAAUGUCCUGCCUCUUCAAAUGUGUUUGGAUCGAUGAUGAGUCCCCCCAAAAAAACAUUCCUUGGAAAAGCUGAACAAAAUGAGUGAAAACUCAUACCGUCGUUCUCAGCGGAACUGAGGUCCAGCGCGUUGCCUCCAGCAGGGACUGUUGGAGUGAGGGAGAGCUUCCACUAGUCCCUAUAGGUUCCACCACCCAGGGCAUCCGCAGGGACAGUUGCCGUGGGAGGUCCGCUGCCUGCUGUCAAGGAAGAUGGUCGAUGCUUCUGAGAAACAGGCCCUGCGGGUUCCUGGAUUUGGUGUGGCCUGGCAUCCACGGUGCACCCCGUGCUGGCGGGUGGCCCAGGACGGGGCAGUUGCCUUGAGAGGCCCACCGCCUGCUGGCAUGACAGAUGGUCAGUUCUUCCGAGCAGUGGAAUCUCCAUGGAGUCGUGGAGUCGGUGUGGCCUCGCAUCCACAGUGCACCCUGUGCUGGUGGAUGGCUCAGGACAGGGCAGUUGCCGUGGGAGGCCUGCCGUCUGCUGAAAGGAAGAUGGUUGAUGCUUCUGAGCAAUGAAGGCCCCAUGGAGUCCUGGAUUCGGUGUGGCCUUGCAUCCGUGGUGCACCCCGUGCUGGUGGAUGGCUCAGGACGGGGCAGUUGCCAUGGGAGGCGCAGGCCUGCUGGAAGGAAGAUGGUCGAUUCUCCCAAGCAACAAAGGCCACGUAGAGUCCUGGUUUCAGUGUGGCCUGGUAUCCACAGUGCACCCCGUGCUGGUGGGUGGCUCAGGACGCACACUCAUUUCCUCUGCACCUUCCUGGUGUCAUUGGCAUGGAAGGAAGGCCCUUGUCCAAGAAGGAUGGUCUUCGUCUUGUGUGAUCUUUGAGAUGCCAUGAGGCCCCUGGAUACAAAUGGUGUGGGCUCCUUUGGAGGCUUUUGGAUUUCUCCUGAAUGUGGCGUUGGUAUGGAAGGAAGGCCAGUGACCGCAAGGGAUGACUUUGAUCUUGGGAGAUUUUUGGAGAUGGCAAAGUGCUUCUAAACAUGUUUGGCAUGGUCUCCUUCAGGCUGGUGGAUACCUCAGGAUGGUGGCGUUGGCAUGGAAGGAAGGACUGUGUCUGUGAGGGAUGAUCAUCCUCUCAUGUGAUCCUUGGAGAUGCCAGGAAGCCCCUUGACACAUGUGGCAUGGGCUCCUUCAGAGGCUUUUGGAUCCGUCGUGAAUGUGGCAUGGGCAUGCAAAGAAAGACAGAGGCUGCAAGGGAUAAACUUCAUCUUGGGAGAUCCCUGGAGAUGGCAGGGAACCCAUGGACACAUGUGGCAUGGGCUCCUUUGGGUGCCGGUGGAUCCCUUCAUACGGUAGUGUUGGUGUAAAAGGCAAACCCGUGUCAUGAGGGAUGGUCAUCAUCUUGUGUGAUCCUUGGAGAUGGCAGGAAGCCCUGGACAUACAUGGUGUGGGGGCUCCUCCAGAGGCUGUUGGGAUCCUCCUGGAUGUGGUGUGGGCAUGGAAGGAAGGCCAGUGGAGACAAUGGAUGAUCUUGUUCUUAGCAGAUCACUGGAUGUGGCAGGGAGUCCUAGGACAUGUGUGGUGUGGGCUUCUUCAGGUGCUGGUGGUGUUGGCAUGAGGAAAGGAGGUAUCUUCGAGGGACAAUCUUCUUCUUGUGCGAUCCUUGGAGAUGCCAUGAGGCCCCUGGACACAUGUGGUGUGGGCUCCUUUGGAGGCUGUUGUAUCCCUUCUGAAUGUGGCGUGGGCAUAGAAGGAAGGCCAGUGGCCACGAGGGACAAUCUUGGUCUUGGGAGAUCCUGGAAAUGAUAGGGAGUCCCUUGAUAUGUGUGGCAUGGGCUCCUUCAGGUGCUAGUGGAUUCCUUAGGAUGGUGGUGUUGGCAUGAAAGGCAGGCUUGUAUCAUGAGGAAUGAUUGUCAUCUUGUCUGAUUCUUGGAGAUGGCAGGAAGCCCCUGGAAACACAUGGUGUGGACUCUUUCACAGGCUGUUGAAACCCUCCUGAAUGGGCAAGGACUGGAUCGAUGAUGACUUCCAUAUGUACAUUCCUUGGAAAGCUGAACAAAAUGAGUGAAAACUCUAUACCGUCAUCCUCGUCGAACUGAGGUGUUGUGGCCAUGGAAGUAAGGCCAGUGGCUACGAGGGACAGUCUUCAUCUUGGGAGAUCCCUAGAGAGGGCAGGGAGCCCCUUGACAUGUGGAAUGUGAUCUCUGUUGGGUGCUGGUGGAUCCCACAGGUGGUCUGGCAUGGAAGAAGGCCAGAGGCUGCGAUGGAUCAUCUUUGUCUUGGGAGAUUCCUGGAGAUGGUGGGGAGCCCCUGGGCACGUGCAGCAUAUGUGGCGUGGGCUUCUUCAGGUGCUGGUGGAUCCCUCAGGAUGUUCAUUGUGGAACCAGCACAGAUUUUCAUACGAAAGUUAUUUCUUUUUAACCUCAAAAAGUGACAGAAUGGAGUGUAUCAUGAAAAAGUCUGACAUCAAAACCUCAAAAUGUGAUAUUGAUUGGGUGAGAUAGAAUUCCAUGGAAUUUCAUUGCCAAACCAGUGAAGUGCUAAUUUUGACAUUUGUACCAGCUAACGUAGCUGUGAAGAAACACACCAAUACACUUCUAAGGACAGCAUAGACCAAGAUCUAGGUUUCAUAUGGAUGAAUUUAUUCUUCCCUUUGAGGCAAGACAAGAAGGAAAGAAAGUAUUGGGAAUAAUGCUGCCCUCCCAUCCUCAAGGGCCAGUGGGAACUCUAAUAUUGAUUGGUUUUCACAGAAUUCCAUGGACUUUAACUGCUGAACCAAUGAUGCACUGAUUUUGUCACUUGUACCAGCUAACGCAUCUGGGAGGCAACAAAACAAUACUCUCCUGAGGUUAAUGUGGACCAAAAACUAGAUUUCAUAUAAAAGAGUUUAUUCCUUCUACUUGAGGUGUGACAUGAAGGAAAGUAAUGGAAAUAAUUCUGCCCUCCCAUUCUCAAGGGCCAGGGGGAAUUCAAAUAUUGAACGGAAGUGAUUUUGGAAUUGCAUGGAAUUCUCACUGCCAUCCCAAAGAAAUGCUGAUCUUGUCACUCUUACCUGUUUCAUUCCCUGGGGGCAGAACAAAAGGACGCACUCCAAAGAUCGGCAUGAACCAAGAACUGGGUUUCAUAUAAAAUAUUUUAUUCUGUCCUCUUGAGAUGUGACAUGAGAAAAGUAUUGAGAAUACUUCUAUCACCUCAUCUUCAAGAAUCCGUAGGAAUUCUCCCAUGGUGGACUUUACGGUUAACCUGAACAGGUCUUGGAAAAAGGACUUUAAACAUUCUCCUGUUCUGUGGAAUAAGUAUACUUUUUUCUGGACAUACACCUUGUCAGUGAGUUCCAUGUGAUACUAGAGUUGCAUAGAUUUUUAACCUUUACGCCAAUGAAGAUCUGAGGCAAACAUUGCCCCUUUUUUAGAAGUUUGCAUUUGUCACUGAUAACUGUAAUAAUUGAUCUUGUUGAAAAGCCUGGGAAAUGAAGAUCUGAUAUGUCACUUUUACCGGCUUCCUCAACUGAAAAAGAAUACAAUGAAACACGCUGAGAAUUUUUGUGCUUUCUCAGUCUUGCUGAUGAUCUUUCUAUGGGCCUGAAGCGUGGAGAGUGCCAGAGAGGCUGAUCCUCAGCAGUGUGGCAGAGGAAAGUUGGGUGCGACUAAGGGGUAUGCGGUGCCCACAUGCCACUGGGUCCUCAGCAGUACCACCUGAUUGGAAGUGAUAUUGGUGGAAGACAACAUUUUGCCGCUUGGAAUUCUCACCUCCACACCAAAGAAGUACUGUUUUUGUCAUUUGCACCAGCUUCUUUCUCCAGGAAAGAUCAAAACGAUGCACUGCAAGUGUGAUUGGUCCAGAUAGCUGCCUUAUCCAACUGCCUCCUUUGGACCACUUCAUCAUGGGACAGCUUGAUGCAAUCUACUUGACAAGACCCUGGAACCCCACACCCCUCAUGGAACCAGUGUCCACCUCCCAGUCACAGUGUGACCCCAGGGAACUCUUGCCUGCUUGCUUUAAACCCACCACUUAAAAGUCUCCACAGAAAACCUGUUUGAAUAGUACCCUUGACCCAAUAAGGGCAUUGGCCCCUGGGUGUCUCUCUCUCUCUCUCUCUCUCUCUCUCCCUCUCUCUCCCUCUCUCUCUCUCGCUCCCUGACCUCUGCGUGUGGACUCCAGGCAUGCCAUAUACCCCUCAGGACCUGAAGCAAAAGAAUGAAUUAAAGAAAACUCCAGAGAAUGAGCUGACAACCUACUCCCUGGUCAGUGGCUCUCCAUGCCUACCUGUGGUCUCUUGGACACCCUUGCAGAAGAUGACUUCCUGGGAACUCUUCUGGGAGUGAAUGUUAUCAGCAAAUUCCCAAAACAACACCCCUUAGACAAAAAGCCUCCUCACCUAUGCAUUGCCUAGACCACCCACUAAAGGUGAUGGCCACAAAGAGGUGGAUUUGUUGAGUUGGUGCCAUUCCUUCUACUGCCAGCUUCACCAAAACAAUGACACAGUCUUCCUUCCGCAUGGAGACUCUUCUCUUUCCUGUGUUGCAGUGGAUGCCUCCUGCAGAUAAGAAAUGCUUAACUGAGAAAUGCUCAUGUUGGGAUAUCAUCGAUGAGACUUUAAUUUGGGCAUGGUGACUGUUUCCCUUGCUGCCACUUGACUCAAUCCCAGGAGCCUCAGUAGAGGAUAUAAUAUUACACAAGAUGCUCAAAAUGGUGGAAUUGCUCAGUGCUCCCAUAAAUAUACAUUUAUAAUUUUCAUUUGCCACAUGGUAAACUGAAAAAUACAGACUAUAUUAAAAAGAAACUGCAUGAUUUUUUUUCAAAAAUUCAAAGCAUAUUUAAAUAAUAUAUAAAUUAAAUGCCCUCCUCUCUUCCAAUUCUGUCCCUAUAGUUUUCCUCUAUUAAGUGAACUACAUGCAUUCUUUUAGUGGAUAGAUGCACACAAACACACAAGCCAUUAUGGGGAAGGAUCCACGUGUGUGGCCAUAUUGUAACACAUUUUUCUGCAAAUCACCUCUUUCAUUUAACAGCCCUUAUUCAAUGGCCUUUUUCUUUUUCAGUAGUACAUACACAUCUGUGUCAUUUGUUGAAUGACGACAUGAAUGUUUUGUAGAUAAAAUAUAAUUAAAUGUUUUAAGCAUUUCUCACUCAUAGAUAUUUAUGUUAGCACCAAAUUUCUGUGCAAUGAACCUCCCUAUAUAUCAGUAAUUUUGCAUUUGUCUAUAAUAUCAUAAUAAAUUACUUAUCAGUUGAAUUACUGGGAUUAAGUAUGUGCACACUUUAUAUUUAUAUUUUGAAAAUUAUUGCAAGAUUGCCUUCAAAAAUGUGGUUAACAACUUUAUCUUCAAAUGGCAAUGAAUGAGAUUGCCAGCUUUCCUACAGCCUCACAGACAAUGGAUUUUAUAAAUAUUUAACAUUUUUGCCAAUGUGAUCACCCAAACUAUUGUCUUAAAUUGUAUCUCUUUUGUUUUUGAGUUUGGUCAUUUUUUCAUGUUUAUUAGCCAUCUGUAUUUUUUAAUUUCUUCUUUAUGUCCAAUUUUGUGGGUGGGAGGAGGAUUUAGUCUCUUCCUGAUUUCGAAGAGCUCAUUUACUAUUUCGGGAAAUAAGAUUUGGAUUGUCAACCAUUAUAGCUAUUUUUUACACACUUUUCAACUUUGUUUUUGUUAUAAGAAUGUGUAUGAUUGUUACAUGUCCAAGUAUAACCAUGUUCGCUUUUAUGGCUUCUGAGUUUCAUGUCAUUUUUGGAAAGAUAUAUAUAUUGAGUCCAUAAAACCCUUCACCUAUGUUAAAUUCUAAUUCUUUUGUGUUUUUUUAAUUCAAAUUCUUAAAUCAUGAGAAAUUUUUUUGUUUUGAAAUCUUAAAGUUGCCAAGUUACUUGCCAUUACUUGCGAUUAUUUGCCAAUAAUUGCCCAUUUAUCUGUACCGCCAUCUUGCGCAUAUGCUGUACUCUCAUCUGUGACUGGCUCCAUUUUUGUUCUGUGGAUUUGUGUGUCUCUUCUUCUGCCUCCUGUCUCGUGUCUGCUCGUUGGAAGAAAUUACAGUUUAGACUGCAAUUUCAUCAACUUUAAUAAAUCAAUUGAGGGGAGAAUUGGUUUUUAAAAAUAUUAAGUAAGUCUUCGUAUCCAAGGACAAGGUAUGUCUUUUCUUAUUCAAUAAUUUUAAUUACUGUUAAUAUUUUCACUGUGGUGAUGGGAGUUUUUCUUUUAAUUUAUUUUCUUGUUCAUUUUUUGUAUCUAAAGUUUUUGUUUUGUUUUGUUUUGGGGGUAAGUUGUCACCUUACUGUUUCUUGUUGCUUUUCAGAUUUUUUCAAAGUAUAGACUAAAUCCUUCACAAAUAUUUAAAGUUUUUAUUUUCCCCCUUCAUAUUGAUCCUGAUUUUAGUUAUGUUGACAAAGUCCACAGACUGUUACUAUCAGAACACUUGAACAGUUAUGGAAAUAUUACCUACCCUUGAUUUAAUCAGAGUUUAAUGGUAUGCUUCUUUGGUUUGACUGGCACAUUGUCGCUGGUCAUUUCCUCCCAAAGACCACCAGAAAGAGCUAUGAUCAAGCAAAGCUGAGUUUGUUAAACUUACCUGCAGCAAGGGAAAACACCACCUUGAUAGGGUUUAAUAAUGUUUCAAAAUCAAGAAAUGAGGCUUUGGGGUCUGGGCAGGGAACUAAUUAGAAAUGGGCAAAAUUUGUCAUGCAAUACCUUGUGGGAAAGUGAGAUGAGGUUCUUAAUGUGAGUAUUGAUGGUGAAAUCAUUUUCUAGGUGAGCUGUUUGCCUAUAUAAAGAUGUUAUCAAUGACAGAAGAACUAUUUGCCUAGAUAAACAAACUGAAUUUAUUUAUUGGUUUACAGUUUUAUCUUGCUGGGCAGGACUCUGCUGGGGGUGGUAUCAGGUCUUAUUCCCAAUAGGUAAGUUAUUUGGAUAUGGGUGGUCUUAAUCAUCAAUGUGUAAAAUGCUGAUUUUAAGUGCGAAAUACUUUGUCUACCAUGUUAGGAAAGUCUGCCACCUUUUAUCUUUUUUAAGGAAUUUUAAUCAAAACCAGGUGGUAGAUAUAAUCAAAUUGUUUUGCAGAAUCAAUUUUCCUGUUCUCUUUAAAGACUUUUAUCACUGUGAAUUAAUUUACUAUUAUUGCAACUUCCUUUAAUUCCUUGAAUGAACAGACCCUACUGGUUUUAAAAAUGUUUUAUUCUUUUAAUUUACUACUUAAUUGUGGGUAUUUUAAUUUGAUUUGGAAUUUUUACAAGUAUACAACUAAGUGAAAUUGAUCUGUGAUUUUUCUUUUUUGUGCUAUUUUUGUCAUGUUUUGAUAUCAGAUAUUCUGGUUGUGUUAAAAUAAUUUUGAGGAUUUUCUUCUUAUACUGUGUUCUAGAGUGGGUAAAAAAGCCCUAGUCUCACUAUCAGUGUUUAAGUGAACACAUCAGUGACAUCAUCUGGACUCUCCUUUGUUUUUGCUGGUUUGGAGUUAGGACAUCUAGAAGUUUUUUUCUUUUUUUCCUUUUUUUGUAUGGUUAUUGCUUGUUCUUUGUUUUGUGUCAAAUUUAACCUGUUUUCUCUUAGCAAAUCACAGCUCAUGCAGAUUUUCAAACACAUUAGCCUUGUUAUACAAAGUGUUCUUUCAUCAUUCUAUUAAAUUUCCAUUUUCAUUCCAGUUAUAGUUAUUUCUGCUGUGCCUUUGUUAAUGAAUAAGUUUAAACAGUGGAUGUUUAGCAUCACUAGCCUUCCCCUUCCAUCUCCCUUAAUCAGGACCUUGGUAUAAUUUAUCAGGUAUUUUUUAAGGUUCUAAUUUACUUAUAUAUAUUGUUUCUGUAUUCUUUUGUUUCUUUUCUUAAUAAAUUCUUAAACCUGUGU